rnacentral:lncRNA from 1 species
AUCUGAUAACGGUAAAGAAAUAUAAAGGCAAUGAAACGUGUCUGAGGACCUCUCCAGAGAAGAUGCAUUGGGCUCUGGAAACCUGCUGCGGUCAAAGAAGAGUCACCGUCCUUUAAGUGCCAAGAAGAGCCCUUCCACCCUCUGGUGCAAGAAGACUUUGAACAAGAAUUGGAAGCUAAAGCUACCAAAGAAGUUGAAAGAAAACUAAGCAGGGCUUUCCUGCCUCAUUUAUGUGGAACUGAGAGAAGGGAUUUAGUGCAAGAAGAGGAAGAACAGUUGAUGGAAGAAAGGAAAAAGAGAAAAGAAGACAAGAAGAAGAAGGAAGCUGCUCAAAAAAAGGUAUGUUGAACACUAAAAAAUACAAACCUGUGCUUAUGGGUUACUUUUGUUUCAUCACUAGUAACUCUGGUUUAGCUGU